AGACGAUGACAUUAGCUGCAGAAUAAGCACCGGCUAACUCUGUGCCAGCAGCCGCGGUAAUACAGAGGGUGCAAGCGUUAAUCGGAAUUACUGGGCGUAAAGGGAGCGUAGGUGGCUCGAUAAGUCAGAUGUGAAAUCCCCGGGCUCAACCUGGGAACUGCAUCUGAUACUGUUGAGCUAGAGUAUGUGAGAGGAAGGUAGAAUUCCAGGUGUAGCGGUGAAAUGCGUAGAGAUCUGGAGGAAUACCGAUGGCGAAGGCAGCCUCCUGGCAUAAUACUGACACUGAGGCUCGAAAGCGUGGGUAGCAAACAGGAUUAGAUACCCUGGUAGUCCACGCCGUAAGCGAUGUCUACUAGUCGUCGGGUCCCUUGAGGACUUAGUGACGCAGCUAACGCAAUAAGUAGACCGCCUGGGGAGUACGGCCGCAAGGUUAAAACUCAAAUGAAUUGACGGGGGCCCGCACAAGCGGUGGAGCAUGUGGUUUAAUUCGAUGCAACGCGAAGAACCUUACCUGGUCUUGACAUAUCUAGAAUCCUGCAGAGAUGCGGGAGUGCCUUCGGGAAUUAGAAUACAGGUGCUGCAUGGCUGUCGUCAGCUCGUGUCGUGAGAUGUUGGGUUAAGUCCCGCAACGAGCGCAACCCUUGUCCUUAGUUACCAGCGGGUUAAGCCGGGAACUCUAAGGAUACUGCCAGUGACAAACUGGAGGAAGGCGGGGACGACGUCAAGUCAUCAUGGCCCUUACGACCAGGGCUACACACGUGCUACAAUGGUAGGUACAGAGGGCAGCUACACAGCGAUGUGAUGCGAAUCUCAAAAAGCCUAUCGUAGUCCAGAUUGGAGUCUGCAACUCGACUCCAUGAAGUAGGAAUCGCUAGUAAUCGCGGAUCAGAAUGCCGCGGUGAAUACGUUCCCGGGCCUUGUACACACCGCCCGUCACACCAUGGGAGUUGAUUGCACCAGAAGUGGAUAGCUUAACCUUCGGGGGAGCGUUCACCACGGUGUGGUUGAUGACUGGGGUGAAGUCGUAACAAGGUAACCGUAA
rnacentral:rRNA from 1 species